GCUAUAAAAACGGGAACAUGCGCGUUAUCUGGGAUGCGUCAUUUGGGGAACUGUUGCGUCGUUAACGCGCUUCCGUCACUUCCCGGAACUGGAUGUGAGUGCUCGACACGAGACUGCAACUUGGUUGGAGAGCAGUUCUACCUGGACUCGGCGAGUUUUGCUGCAAUGUCGUUUAUUAUUGUUUACAUGUAGUGGGUGUAGACAUCGAAGAAGCUGUGAGAACCAGAUGCACUUGCUGGGUCGCUGUUUUCUGUACCGGCGUUUGCUUGAAAAGACUCUAUUUGUUGGCUCUUUAUAGAAACGUUAAUCCCUGCAAUUGGGCCUGAGCACCAGGGGCAGAGGACUGGUUUUAGGUGGUGGUAUAUCCCUCACAAGUGUGCAGUGACCACCUCACCGUGUGUGUGUGUGUGUGUGUGUGUGUGUGCGUGUGCGCGUGUGGACACAGUAAAGUGCAGUGAUUCACCUACAGGUGGUGUGGUCUGAUUACCCGUUUUUACUGAGGAAGUGGGCGUCUCUGUCACAUUCAGCACUUCAUGUUAAACAUGUAACCAGGAAAGAAACACUCAAAACUCAUCUGAACACACAUCGAGAGCUUCAGAAGAACUGAAUCUACUGACAACAGAGAAGAUCAUUUAAUAAGAGAGAAGAAUGAAGAUCAUCUUGACUUUCACUCUGCUGAUGAUUCCUGGAGUCGUGAGCUCCAUCAGUGUGACGGGAUAUUCAGGAGGAGUCGUCACGAUCAAAUGCAAAUAUGAAAGAGGAUAUGCAGCAAAUGUAAAGUAUUUUUGUAAAGGACAGUGGUCAGGCUGCAUAUACCAAAUCAGGACCGAUGAGAAAAAUAAAUGGGUUCAAGAACAAGAACAAGAACAACAACAACAUCAUCAUCAUCAUCCUCAUCAUCACCAUCAUCAGCAGGUGAUCUUGUGCUGAAAUACAAACAUGAUCAAUGGGUGUAGUUUGUGAGGAGGCCUGACCCCCUAUAGCAUUACAUUAAACAUUAAAAUAAAUUAUAUUUUCAACUGUAAAAUAAAUAAAUAAUA